rnacentral:tRNA from 1 species
GACGGUAUAGCUCAGUGGUAGAGUGCCUGCUUAGCAUGCAUGAGGCCCUGGAUUCAGUACCCAGUACCUCCG